UGGGGUAUAUUGCACAAUGGGCGAAAGCCUGAUGCAGCGACGCCGCGUGGGGGAUGAAGGCCUUCGGGUUGUAAACUUCUUUUGCUCUGAACAAGGCAUGCUAAUGGGUGUGUGGAGUGUAGGGGUUGAUUAGCGCCGGCUAACUACGUGCCAGCAGCCGCGGUAAUACGUAGGGCGCGAGCGUUGUCCGGAAUUAUUGGGCGUAAAGGGCUUGUAGGUGGCUGGUUGCGUCUGUCGUGAAAGCUCAUGGCUUAACUGUGGGUUUGCGGUGGGUACGGGCUGGCUUGAGUGCAGUAGGGGAGGCUGGAAUUCCUGGUGUAGCGGUGGAAUGCGCAGAUAUCAGGAGGAAUACCGGUGGCGAAGGCGGGUCUCUGGGCUGUUACUGACACUGAGGAGCGAAAGCAUGGGGAGCGAACAGG
rnacentral:rRNA from 1 species